UGUCGCAUUGGUGAAAUUGGCUAACACACUCGGCUUUCUACCGAGCAUUCAGGGGUUCGAAUCCCCUAUGCGAUAUCAU
rnacentral:tRNA from 1 species